rnacentral:rRNA from 1 species
UGGGGAAUUUUGGACAAUGGGGGAAACCCUGAUCCAGCCAUCCCGCGUGUGCGAUGAAGGCCUUCGGGUUGUAAAGCACUUUUGGCAGGAAAGAAACGUCGCGGGUUAAUACCCCGCGGAACUGACGGUACCUGCAGAAUAAGCACCGGCUAACUACGUGCCAGCAGCCGCGGUAAUACGUAGGGUGCAAGCGUUAAUCGGAAUUACUGGGCGUAAAGCGUGCGCAGGCGGUUCGGAAAGAAAGAUGUGAAAUCCCGGAGCUUAACUUUGGAACUGCAUUUUUAACUACCGGGCUAGAGUGUGUCAGAGGGAGGUGGAAUUCCGCGUGUAGCAGUGAAAUGCGUAGAUAUGCGGAGGAACACCGAUGGCGAAGGCGGCCUCCUGGGAUAACACUGACGCUCAUGCACGAAAGCGUGGGGAGCAAACAGG